rnacentral:rRNA from 1 species
CGUAGGGUGCGAGCGUUAAUCGGAAUUACUGGGCGUAAAGCGUGCGCAGGCGGUUAUUUAAGACAGGUGUGAAAUCCCCGGGCUUAACCUGGGAAUUGCGCUUGUGACUGGAUAGCUAGAGUGCGGCAGAGGGGGGUGGAAUUCCACGUGUAGCAGUGAAAUGCGUAGAGAUGUGGAGGAACACCGAUGGCGAAGGCAGCCCCCUGGGCCAGCACUGACGCUCAUGCACGAAAGCGUGGGGAGCAAACAGGA